rnacentral:rRNA from 1 species
CUAGUGACCGAUAGUGAACCAGUACCGUGAGGGAAAGGUGAAAAGCACCCCGGGAGGGGAGUGAAAUAGAACCUGAAACCGUGUGCCUACAACAAGUUCGAGCCCGUUAAUGGGUGAGAGCGUGCCUUUUGUAGAAUGAACCGGCGAGUUACGAUAUGAUGCGAGGUUAAGUUGAAGAGACGGAGCCGUAGGGAAACCGAGUCUUAAUAGGGCGCAUUAGUAUCAUGUCGUAGACCCGAAACCAUGUGACCUACCCAUGAGCAGGUUGAAGGUGAGGUAAAACUCACUGGAGGACCGAACCAGGGCACGUUGAAAAGUGCUUGGAUGACUUGUGGGUAGCGGAGAAAUUCCAAACGAACUUGGAGAUAGCUGGUUCUCUCCGAAAUAGCUUUAGGGCUAGCGUCGAUGUUAAGUCUCUUGGAGGUAGAGCACUGUUUGGGUGAGGGGUCCAUCCCGGAUUACCAAUCUCAGAUAAACUCCGAAUGCCAAUGAGAUAUAAUCGGCAGUCAGACUGCGAGUGCUAAGAUCCGUAGUCGAAAGGGAAACAGCCCAGACCACCAGCUAAGGUCCCAAAAUAUAUGUUAAGUGGAAAAGGAUGUGGGGUUGCACAGACAACUAGGAUGUUAGCUUAGAAGCAGCUAUUCAUUCAAAGAGUGCGUAAUAGCUCACUAGUCGAGUGACCCUGCGCCGAAAAUGUACCGGGGCUAAAACAUAUUACCGAAGCUGUGGAUACCUUUAUAGGUAUGGUAGGAGAGCGUUCUAUGUGCGAAGAAGGUGUACCGUGAGGAGUGCUGGAGCGCAUAGAAGUGAGAAUGCCGGUAUGAGUAGCGAAAGACAGGUGAGAAUCCUGUCCACCGUAAGACUAAGGUUUCCAGGGGAAGGCUCGUCCGCCCUGGGUUAGUCGGGACCUAAGGAGAGACCGAAAGGUGUAUCCGAUGGACAACAGGUUGAUAUUCCUGUACUAGAGUAUAUAGUGAUGGAGGGACGCAGUAGGCUAACUAAACCAGACGAUUGGAAGUGUCUGGCCAAGCAGUGAGGUGUGAUAUGAGUCAAAUGCUUAUAUCUAUAACAUUGAGCUGUGAUGGGGAGCGAAGUUUAGUAGCGAAGUUAGUGAUGUCACACUGCCGAGAAAAGCUUCUAGCGUUAAUUAUACUCUACCCGUACCGCAAACCGACACAGGUAGUCGAGGCGAGUAGCCUCAGGUGAGCGAGAGAACUCUCGUUAAGGAACUCGGCAAAAUGGCCCCGUAACUUCGGGAGAAGGGGCGCUGACUGAUGGUCAGCCGCAGUGAAUAGGCCCAAGCAACUGUUUAUCAAAAACACAGCUCUCUGCUAAAUCGUAAGAUGAUGUAUAGGGGGUGACGCCUGCCCGGUGCUGGAAGGUUAAGAGGAGUGCUUAGCGUAAGCGAAGGUAUGAAUUGAAGCCCCAGUAAACGGCGGCCGUAACUAUAACGGUCCUAAGGUAGCGAAAUUCCUUGUCGGGUAAGUUCCGACCCGCACGAAAGGCGUAAUGAUUUGGGCACUGUCUCAACGAGAGACUCGGUGAAAUUUUAGUACCUGUGAAGAUGCAGGUUACCCGCGACAGGACGGAAAGACCCCAUGGAGCUUUACUGCAGUUUGAUAUUGAGUAUCUGUACCACAUGUACAGGAUAGGUAGGAGCCUAUGACCUCGGGACGCCAGUUUCGAGUGAGGCGUUGUUGGGAUACUACCCUUGUGUUAUGGCUACUCUAACCCAGAUAGGUUAUCCCUAUCGGAGACAGUGUCUGACGGGCAGUUUGACUGGGGCGGUCGCCUCCUAAAAGGUAACGGAGGCGCCCAAAGGUUCCCUCAGAAUGGUUGGAAAUCAUUCGCAGAGUGUAAAGGUAUAAGGGAGCUUGACUGCGAGAGCUACAACUCGAGCAGGGACGAAAGUCGGGCUUAGUGAUCCGGUGGUUCCGCAUGGAAGGGCCAUCGCUCAACGGAUAAAAGCUACCCUGGGGAUAACAGGCUUAUCUCCCCCAAGAGUUCACAUCGACGGGGAGGUUUGGCACCUCGAUGUCGGCUCGUCGCAUCCUGGGGCUGUAGUCGGUCCCAAGGGUUGGGCUGUUCGCCCAUUAAAGCGGCACGCGAGCUGGGUUCAGAACGUCGUGAGACAGUUCGGUCCCUAUCCGUCGCGGGCGUAGGAAAUUUGAGAGGAUCUGCUCCUAGUACGAGAGGACCAGAGUGGACUUACCGCUGGUGUACCAGUUGUUCUGCCAAGAGCAUCGCUGGGUAGCUAUGUAGGGAAGGGAUAAACGCUGAAAGCAUCUAAGUGUGAAGCCCACCUCAAGAUGAGAUUUCCCAUGAUUUU